CCCUGGUUAGCUCAGUUGGUAGAGCGCCCCACUUGUAAUGGAGAGGUCCCGGGUUCGAUACCCGGACCAGGCG
rfam:Ixodes scapularis strain Wikel colony gcontig_1108379375754, whole genome shotgun sequence.